rnacentral:rRNA from 1 species
UUCGCCUGCAGCCACGCCUCCCCUGUCGGCCCAGGGCUCACGCGCAGGCUCCAGAGCUGGCGGCUCCGGUGCUUCGACACCGCGCAGUGCCACGCCACCGUUGUCCCCUGGCUGCAUAGG